rnacentral:rRNA from 1 species
UACGUAGGGUGCAGGCGUUAAUCGGAAUUACUGGGCGUAAAGCGUGCGCAGGCGGUUUGCUAAGACAGGUGUGAAAUCCCCCGGGCUUAACCUGGGAACUGCGCUUGUUACUGGCAGGCUUGAGUGUGGCAGAGGGGGGGUGGAAUUCCACGUGUAGCAGUGAAAUGCGUAGAGAUGUGGAGGAACACCGAUGGCGAAGGUAGCCCCCCUGGGCUAACACUGACGCCU